rnacentral:rRNA from 1 species
CCUACGGGAGGCACCAGUGGGGAAUAUUGCACAAUGGGCGCAAGCCUGAUGCAGCCAUGCCGCGUGUAUGAAGAAGGCCUUCGGGUUGUAAAGUACUUUCAGCGGGGAGGAAGGCGAUAAGGUUAAUAACCUCGUCGAAUGACGUUACCCGCAGAAGAAGCACCGGCUAACUCCGUGCCAGCAGCCGCGGUAAUACGGAGGGUGCAAGCGUUAAUCGGAAUUACUGGGCGUAAAGCGCACGCAGGCGGUCUGUCAAGUCGGAUGUGAAAUCCCCGGGCUCAACCUGGGAACUGCAUUCGAAACUGGCAGGCUAGAGUCUUGUAGAGGGGGGUAGAAUUCCAGGUGUAGCGGUGAAAUGCGUAGAGAUCUGGAGGAAUACCGGUGGCGAAGGCGGCCCCCUGGACAAAGACUGACGCUCAGGUGCGAAAGCGUGGGGAGCAAACAGGAUUAGAUACCCGGG